UUUAAGUUUAGACUAAUCGCUUCUCUCUGUGUUUUCAACAUCUAAGGACCAUGAACAUUGUCGAGGUGGCUUUAAAGAUGGACUCUUCUCAGGGCCUCCUGGCUGUGAUGCUCCUCAUCCUCACAAGGGCCCAUGGAGACUCAGUAACUCAGACGCAAGGUCAAGUGGUCCUCUCAGAAAAGGACAUUCUUACUAUACACUGCAACUAUUCAGCCGCAGGGUACCCGGCUCUGUUCUGGUAUGUGCAGUAUCCCGGAGAAGGUCUACAGCUCCUCUUUAGAGCCUCAAAGGCCAACGAGAAGGGAAGCAGCAGAGGUUUCGAAGCUACGUAUGAUAAAGAAACCACGUCCUUCCACUUGCAGAAAGCCUCAGUGCAAGCGUCGGACUCGGCCGUGUACUACUGUGCUCUGAAUGACACAGUGGCAGAAACCACAGAGGGAGCUGAGCACAAACUCUGAGAAGCAGAGGCCUAACUGCUGAGCCUCUGGGAUUGAUUUGGUUCCUCUUUGUGCUGUGUGCCUCUCGGUUUCUCUCGUUGGCACAAAAAUUACACGAGUAGCCUCAAGAGAAAGAACAAGAAGUAGACUCUUUCAUCCUCGUCUUGACUGGGACUAAACCAAAAUCCAAUGCAAAAAUACCUUGUGCAGAGGUGAAGGAGCCUCACAGUGAAGCUCUGUGAAUAAGGAAGUGGUCUGUCUGCUCUUCAUAGUAGAUGAAGUCUGUCCUCCACAUUUUCUUUCCACAGCUCUGGUAGGACUAGCUGUAUUUUGUAUUUGCAGGGAACAGGGUGUGCCAGGAAAGGGGGCUUCUGCGUAUCGUCUUCGGAAAGUAUGGCGGCAGAAGUCCCAGGAUGAAGUGAAGGCUUCACCUCAACAAGGCCUUAGAUUCUUCUGAAGGACUGAGCACCUCAGGGGCAGCUGAGCCAAGCCAUUCAUUUUCUUUUUUUAAAGUAAAUAUAAUCACAGCACUCCUGCUUCCUUUCGGUCCCCCAACCCCUUCCAUGAGCGUCCCCUUGCUCCCUCAAAAGUGUGGUCUCAUUUAUAUGUUAUCAUUGCGCGUGCACGCGCGCGCGCGCGCGCGCACACACACACACACACACACACACACACACACACACACACACCUGCUUUAAUAUACAAAAACUAGAAGAGGAGAAUUAGUCACUCCCAGGGAUGAGACUCUUAUUGAUUAACAGAUUGAGCAGUCAUUCCUCAAGCCAUACAGAAAGCAAUAUGGACUCAGUAGAUUUUAUUUAUAUAUAUUUGUGUGCACGAAUGCGCGUACACACACACACACACACACACACACACCUACACACACACACUCACUCACACACUACAUGCUUGUAACAAUAAUAAUAAUAAAAGAAAGUGUUAUCAAUUUGAGAAUUAAGGGUAGGAGGGUUUGAGAGAUGGUAACUCUGAGAAGCUUAAAAGAUGCGAAGGAGGGUAAAGUGGGUAAUUUUAUUUCGAUUACGAACAUAGUUUUUAAAAGGCUGAACUGAAGCUAGAGGUGAAAAACUCAAUAAACUGAAUAAAAAUUCAGAGGAUUUAUUCAUAGGUAACAUUUAAAAUGUUUAAUUAUUUUAAUAUUUUAAUGCAAAAGUCAAUUAUCAGCAAAAGCUCAAAAUCUUAUCAAGCCAUUAAAGAAAAUGGAGACACUUUUUUCUUCCAAGAAAAAAAAAUUAGUGGAAAGCCCCACCAGCAUAGUGGAUCACACACUUUUCCUGGGGAAAAGUUAAAGGACAGAAGAGAUUAAAGCAAUGAAUCACGUCCUAAAACGCGAUGAAUGCCAACCCAUACUCUCUGGGAUACAUGGAAAGAGUCCUGAGGGAGAAAGUUAUAGUACGAAAUGUUUUCUCUUAUCUGUACAUGUUAGCUUUGUAUUUAGAUAUGUGUGCUCCAUUUGGAAUAUCCACAAAGGACCUAAAAUUACAAAGGGGCCGUGGUGGGCUGGCAGGGGGGAAAGAGUGGUUUCAAGGAAAGGUUGAGAGAAGCAUCAAUAUAAGAUGUUUAAAAAGGAGCUAUAAAACAGAAUGGAUUAAUGAUUAAAUGGAGAAAGAGGGAGAUUGGAUAGAGAAGUGGUUGCUGGGAGGGAAAUUACCACCAAAGACUAAAAAAGUUCCAUGGAAACCUACCACUGAGGAAGCUUCCCAAAGGAUCCAUGGACCCGAAGAAAGGGACAUCUGAUAUUUUUCAUUGAUGUUUGAGUUUAUACUAAAACUAAUUUAAAUAAAAUGGUAAAUUAAUUCUUUGAGAGUUUCAUACAACUUUAUUCAUAGCUUAAUCAUAUUCAUCCUUCCCCAACUCCUCCCAAAUCCACUUCACUUCCCAACCUGCCCAACUCCUCUCUCUCUGUCUCUCUCU